UUCUAGAAUGAAAAGCAAAAUUAAAGGUUAACAGCAUCUUAAGGUUAGAAGUAAUGGUAGGGUCAACAUAUUUCAUAAAUAAAAUGAAUAGGCAAACAACUCUGAAGGGGAGUUCAAGGAUAAAGGGGAGAGGCUUUCUUUCAAUUCUUGGUUGACAUCUUGAAUCCUAGUUUUGACUGGCUCCUGUUGGUUUCUCCAAAUGAUGUGGUGUGUAUGGUGUCCUCAGAAGUCAGAAGAUAGCAUCAGAUUCCCUGCCACUGGAGUUACAGAAAACUGUGAGCCAACAUAUGGAUGCUGAGAAUCAAAUCCUCCAGAAGAGCAGCCAAUGCUUGUAACCAUUGAGCCAUCUCUUCAGCCCAGCAUAUAUGCAUUUGAAAUUGCUAAUAAAAUUGCACUCAAGAACAAAAAA